rnacentral:tRNA from 1 species
UCCAGGGUAGCCUAGUGGUCAUGGCAACUGCCCGGUAAGCGGAAGGUCGUGGGUUCGAUUCCCAUCCCUUGAAU